UUAACUGAAACCAAAAAGAGGUAUAUUACUGUUAAUAAUACCAUUGAAUAGAACAUUCCAGUUAAG
rnacentral:tRNA from 1 species